GCAAGACCUYRUGCUCCUGGAGCGGCCGAUAUCUGAUUAGCUAGUUGGUGAGGUAAAGGCUCACCAAGGCGACGAUCAGUAGCUGGUCUGAGAGGACGACCAGCCACACUGGAACUGAGACACGGUCCAGACUCCUACGGGAGGCAGCAGUGGGGAAUUUUGGACAAUGGGCGCAAGCCUGAUCCAGCAAUGCCGCGUGAGUGAAGAAGGCCUUCGGGUUGUAAAGCUCUUUUGUCAGGGAAGAAACGGUAGAGGCUAAUAUCCUUUGCUAAUGACGGUACCUGAAGAAUAAGCACCGGCUAACUACGUGCCAGCAGCCGCGGUAAUACGUAGGGUGCAAGCGUUAAUCGGAAUUACUGGGCGUAAAGCGUGCGCAGGCGGUUUUGUAAGUCUGUCGUGAAAGCCCCGGGCUCAACCUGGGAAUUGCGAUGGAGACUGCAAGGCUUGAAUCUGGCAGAGGGGGGUAGAAUUCCACGUGUAGCAGUGAAAUGCGUAGAGAUGUGGAGGAACACCGAUGGCGAAGGCAGCCCCCUGGGUCAAGAUUGACGCUCAUGCACGAAAGCGUGGGGAGCAAACAGGAUUAGAUACCCUGGUAGUCCACGCCCUAAACGAUGUCUACUAGUUGUCGGGUUUUAAUUAACUUGGUAACGCAGCUAACGCGUGAAGUAGACCGCCUGGGGAGUACGGUCGCAAGAUUAAAACUCAAAGGAAUUGACGGGGACCCGCACAAGCGGUGGAUGAUGUGGAUUAAUUCGAUGCAACGCGAAAAACCUUACCUACCCUUGA
rnacentral:rRNA from 1 species